GUAGGUGGCAAGCGUUGUCCGGGAAUUAUUGGGGCGUAAAGCGCGCGCAGGCGGUUCUUUAAGUCUGAUGUGAAAGCCCACGGGCUCAACCGUGGAGGGUCAUUGGAAACUGGAGAACUUGAGUACAGAAGAGGAAAGCGGAAUUCCACGUGUAGCGGUGAAAUGCGUAGAGAUGUGAGGAACACCAGUGGCGAAGGCGGCUUUCUGGUCUGUAACUGACGCUGAGGCGCGAAAGCGUGGGGAGCAAACAGGAUUAGAUACCCUGGUAGUCCACGCCGUAAACGAUGAGUGCUAAGUGUUAGGGGGUUUCCGCCCCUUAGUGCUGCAGCUAACGCAUUAAGCACUCCGCCUGGGGAGUACGGCCGCAAAGGCUGA
rnacentral:rRNA from 1 species